AAUUUUAAGUUAUAUAAACUAUUAGCCUUCCAAGCUUAAAAAAAGAUACCUUAAAUUCAA
rnacentral:tRNA from 1 species